UGGGGAAUAUUGGACAAUGGGGGGAACCCUGAUCCAGCCAUGCCGCGUGUGUGAAGAAGGCCUUAUGGCUGUAAAGCACUUUAAGCGAGGAGGAGGCUACUAGUAUUAAUACUACUGGAUAGUGGACGUUACUCGCAGAAUAAGCACCGGCUAACUCUGUGCCAGCAGCCGCGGUAAUACAGAGGGUGCGAGCGUUAAUCGGAUUUACUGGGCGUAAAGCGUGCGUAGGCGGCCAUUUAAGUCAAAUGUGAAAUCCCGAGCUUAACUUGGGAAUUGCAUUCGAUACUGGAUGGCUAGAGUAUGGGAGAGGAUGGUAGAAUUCCAGGUGUAGCGGUGAAAUGCGUAGAGAUCUGGAGGAAUACCGAUGGCGAAGGCAGCCAUCUGGCCUAAUACUGACGCUGAGGUACGAAAGCAUGGGGAGCAAACAGGAUUAGAUACCCUGGUAGUCCAUGCCGUAAACGAUGUCUACUAGCCGUUGGGGCCUUUGAGGCUUUAGUGGCGCAGCUAACACGAUAAGUAGACCGCCUGGGGAGUACGGUCGCAAGACUAAAAGCUC
rnacentral:rRNA from 1 species